CAAUUCAGGUAAGUUUCCUUUGCUUUAUUCUUUAUAUAGUGUGCAAUCAAGUUUUCUCCCUUCCAUUAUGUUCUGUUGUUUGUAUUACUCCUAGAUAACCAGGAAAGUGUAGGGAGAAGCAAGGUCAGGAGACAAUGUAUAGGAAAUCUGAUGGAUUUCAAAGUAUUAAGUCAUAGAUCAAUCCAAGAGUCACUAUUUGUUGUCUACUUUUCUCCUUGUAUUUGAUAUCCAAAAUCAAGACCACAGGCCCAGCUCUCUUCUAAAUUUGUGUCAUUAAAGAAAAUUUAAGACCACCCCCAUCCAAAUAAAUACAGUGACGGAUUCUAUCAGAAGCCCCCACAAGUUGUCCUGGGAGAGCAAAGUACAAACAUCAUUUGUCCUGGGACAAAAGGAAAGGUUUCUACAGGUAGGAACAAUUGAGGGGACAUUGGGUGUAGCGGAGUUUGGCCACACAGUAAGGAUGGAUCAAAGUUCCACGGAAAAUGGGAAGGCUGAACACAUAUCUACAAAUUGAAACGGCUACAGUUUUUAAUCGUCCUGUGAAGAAGCAGGGGGUGAGGCUACCCCUGGUUAUCAGGAGACAGAAAUGUUUACUGAACGGAGCAACUGCAGGAUCAGGUGGGUGUUUGCCUUCAGGUGGGCAUUUCAGAAGGUAAGAGUGGAUGCCUUAAGCCUGCAUGAGGCCAGGGAACAGGGAAGUGCUUCCAUAGUCUUUGACAUAGCUCCACCUAGCGGCCAGCCGUGUUUACUACCACUCGGUUCACCCAACCUUCUUCGUGUGUCUGCCAGUCACUCAAGAACUACAAUCCUGUUUUUCUACAGUUGAAGAAUAAAGACCCAAAUAAGUGAGACACAACAAAAACUCCUCAAAUUUCAUCGACAGGUCACUAAUAAUGGUACUUAAAAUGCGUGUAAUUUACCAAUUGUUAUGACCUUCCCCUAUUUUGAAUCUCAAAUCUGUUUAAAAUAUGCUUCGUGGGCUUUGAUACACCGAUAAUCUUAUAUUUUACUGUGCAGGAAAACGUGAUGGCAGUAAGAGAUUUCUACUUUCUAGUCACUGAGUGGCAAUAAAAUCAAAGUGAAGAUUUAUCUCCUAGGAUUGGAACCAAGCACAGCCAAAUUCCAUCUCCUCCUCAGCUUGGUACCCCACGGUUCCUCAAAAAUAGGUUUUGUGCCCAUAACUCUGGGCCCACAUGUUUCAAAUCGUUGAGCUAACGUGAGUGAGAAUUCAUAUCCUAUAGAAGCUUAGUGUAUUAAGUAGUAAACCAGAAGGUUUUAAUUUUAAAAAGUGAGUCAAAUUGAAAUGGGAAUUUUAUGACACAUUAUGUGCUUGACAGAUGAAGCAUAUUUGUGUAAGCAACAUAACUAUGGAGUAUUGUAUAGAGACAGUAAUAUUAAUGAAAUUAAAUAUUCAUGUCUGGUUUUGUCCACAAAACAAGAAAAACAUGAUAUUUAUUGACCACAGAUAAUUCUUCACAUUUAUCAAUCCUCAUAUUCAAAAUUUCUGAAACUGCUGUUUCUUUUGAAAUUUUGGUUCCAUGUGGAAUAAAAACACAUGUGGCACCAUUUCUGUCAUCAGGAAAUCUCAGUCCUCCCAGAAUUAAGUUAAAACAUAAUCGGAUGAUGAAAUAGGUGAGUCCUGGUAUGGUAGGGUGGCAAGAGGACCCUUUAACAUAAGGAGCCCCUUCUGAAUCAAUCUCAUUUCAGAACUGAGUCCCCUUUGAAGGGAGUUGGAAAUCAGAGAAGAAUCUCCUAGAGGAGGAGUCCACUCUUCUGCAACCUCCUUUUUGCUGAUCAUGACUUGGACUGUUAUACGAGAUGUUGAAUUGAGUUUCUCCCAUUGAUUGGUUCAACCUCUCAGCUGCUGCUGUGGGUCUGGGCCACAACCAGGUUGGAGUGGUUCUGCGAGUUGGGAGGAUCUCACAGCCUAGACUGGUGAUCGCAGGCAGAAAUAGAAUGGGACCAACCCAUGUCAACUACAGAUUGUCUAGUAGCUCUAUGAAUCAGUGUGCAUGUCACACUCAGAGCACGGCUCAAUUCAGAGGAGCUGAAUUCCAAGGGCUUGAUUUCCACAGGUGGUUGGUGGCUACAAUAUUGGACACCCCAGGUCUAGUCUAUUUUACCAGCUCAGGUCAAAGCUGAAUGACCAACUGAGUCUUUAAUUCUACUUAGUAUCUCAAAUAUCAGAAGAUAUCAGAAGAGCAGCACCAAGAGUCACUUAUGUUUAUAUUUG